rnacentral:rRNA from 1 species
UAUGAACGCUGGCGGCGUGCCUAAUACAUGCAAGUCGAGCGAACAGACGAGGAGCUUGCUCCUCUGACGUUAGCGGCGGACGGGUGAGUAACACGUGGAUAACCUACCUAUAAGACUGGGAUAACUUCGGGAAACCGGAGCUAAUACCGGAUAAUAUAUUGAACCGCAUGGUUCAAUAGUGAAAGACGGUUUUGCUGUCACUUAUAGAUGGAUCCGCGCCGCAUUAGCUAGUUGGUAAGGUAACGGCUUACCAAGGCAACGAUGCGUAGCCGACCUGAGAGGGUGAUCGGCCACACUGGAACUGAGACACGGUCCAGACUCCUACGGGAGGCAGCAGUAGGGAAUCUUCCGCAAUGGGCGAAAGCCUGACGGAGCAACGCCGCGUGAGUGAUGAAGGUCUUCGGAUCGUAAAACUCUGUUAUUAGGGAAGAACAAAUAUGUAAGUAACUAUGCACGUCUUGACGGUACCUAAUCAGAAAGCCACGGCUAACUACGUG